CACAUGACAAAGAGGAAGAGGACUCCCUAGGCUCUUGGAGAUCAGGGAAGGAAAGGCCUGCAGAAGCUGCAGCACUAUGGGUCUAUUUUCAACGACACAGUGGGCACCUAGGUUGGUUCCAUAUCUUGGCUAUUGGGAAGAGUGCUGCAAGAAAUAUGAGACACAGCCUACGAGACCAAGGAGAGCAAGAAGGAAGACCUGGUGUUUAUCUUCUGGGCCCCUGGAUCUGCAUUCCUUAAGAGCAAAAUUAUCUGUCAUUUCCAAGGGCUUCAACAAGAAGAAGCUGACAGGGAUCAAGAACGAGUUACAAGCAAAACUAUUACAAGGUGGUCAAGGAUUGCUGCACCCUGGCUGAAAAACUGGGGGGCAGGGCCAUCAUCUCUCUGGAGGGCAAGCCUUUGUGAGCCCCCUCCAGCCUCCUACCUUGAGCAUCUGGCAGUCCCAGACCUGCCCUAGGGGGUUGCAGCUGCCCACUUCCUGCCAGCUGGGAGGGCCUGGGGGAAUCCCAGCAGGGAAAGGCAUUUCCUUCACCCCAGUUGCCAAACAGCCCCCUUACCCCCUGGGCCUUCCUUCUCCCUUCAUCUCUGAGAUUCUGCCUUCCCUAACUGAUUUUGAUAUUCUAUUCCUCUUGGGUUGAAAUAAACCAAGUCUUCUCCCAGGCA